ensembl:lncRNA novel transcript
GAAGAUUUCUUCUUAGAGCAAAAGCUUGCAGGAACAGCGGCAUGAGGGCCAAAGCCUCACAACAAGUGGGUUGUCUACAGAAGGAGCAGCUUACCUUACAUUUAUGCUGCAAUCAAGAAUAAAGAUGGAGUCUCUCUCCGUCGCCCAGGUUGGAGUGCGCACAAUCUUGGCUCAUUGCAACCUCCGCCUUCUGGGUUCAAGCAAUUCUCCCACCUCAGCCUGCCAGGUAGUUGUGUCACACCUUUUCCUGAACUUUGGCUCAAUUGAAGAAGGAAACUUUCAGGGGAAUUCCAAUAGUAAACAACAGAACCAGCAGUUUUACAAUAAACUGCAGAGCUCCAUUUCAAAACACAAAAAUAGAGCGUCUCUGCAGUGAUGUACUGCCUUAAGGAAGGAGUCUCGCUCUGUCACCCAGACUGGAGUACAAGGAUGCGAUCUCGGCCCACUGCAACCUCCACCUCCCAGGUUCAAGCGAUUCUCCCACCUCAGCCUCCUGAGUAGCUGGGAUUACAGACAUGGUAUCUUGGAUAACACCUGACGAUAAUAACAAAGGAACUGUAAUUCUGCAGCCUUGGCUUGACUUUUUUUAUGCCUUAGGGAAUGAAUAAGUACGUAAAUGAGAAAUGAAUCAUGAUAGUCACUUGUCAAUCCAAAAAUAUGUGAGCAAGGUAGGCUAAGCAUGAUUGGCUGGGUGAUUGGAGAAUCUACUGAAAUAUAUUGCUUUCUUUAAAAUACAUUACUCUCUUUAAUUGAAUUAGGUUAACUUCAUGUGAUUGGCACAUACAUUAAGAUCAAGAAUUGAUGAUGAGCAGGAGGUGAUGACCAGAGGAUAACACUAAAUUUGAAGAAAGAUUAGGAAAUCACCUAAGACUGGGCUGAAUGACCUUUAAAUUACCUUCCAACCAGACGUUGUAUGAUUUUUUUUUUUAAUUGGAGAUGGAGUCUCGCUCUGUCACCCACGCUGGAGUGCAGUGGCGUGAUCUUGAACCUCUGCCUCUCAGGCUCAAACAAUUCUCCUGCCUCAGCCUCCCAAGUAGCUGGGACUACAGGCGCACGCCGCCAGUCCUAGCUAAGUUUUUGUAUUUCAGUAGAGAAGUUUCACCAUGUUGCCGGGUUGGUCGCGAACUCCUGAGCUCAGGCAAUCCACCCACCUCGGCCUCCUAAAGUGCUGGGAUUACAGGCAUGAGCCACCGCGCCUGGCCCAGACACUAUGAUUUUUAAGAAACUGUAGCCCAUCACUUGGUGCCUUCAUCCAGAAAUAUCUUUUGAAGUAACAGUAGGGAACUGAAAAAUCUGUGAUAGAGUGAAAGAGAUAAUUAACAGGUUCUUCCAGCUGGAUUCUCACCUCCUCCAGUGGAGGAUGUUUUAGUAGAAAAUAUCAGCCCAACUGAUAUUUUCCAAGAUUGUUGGGUCUUAAGAGUCAUUAGAUGAGAUUGUUAAAAAUACCAGGUCUCAGGCUCCUCUCUGUCUCUGAGUUCUGCAGAUUCUGAUUAAGUGGAGACAGUUUAAAAAAGAGGGAGAACGACCUCCUAUAAUCCUACCAGAAAUUAUGUUGUCAUUUUAUGUUUUUGCAUUAACUACAUAAAAUGACUCACCCUAUAUAUGAUUGUUUCUACUUAUCUAGAUGUUUGCCUAAUCCAGGAAAUGAUGAAUUUAAAUUUUGAAUUACCAAGGGACAGAAUUAUGAUCACAUCUACAUUUAAUUUGUGAUGAUUUUUAUAUAUAUGUUUUAGAUAUAUGCACACUUAAGCAUUUUAAAAAUUAUAUAUGUU